rnacentral:pre_miRNA from 1 species
CGAAGGUAAUUAAACUUGAGGAAGAAAACGAGAAGGGACGGACAAACCGCCCUUCUCGUUCUCUUCCUCAAGUUUAAUUAUCCAUAA